UACGUAGGGGGCAAGCGUUGUCCGGAAUUAUUGGGCGUAAAGAGCGUGUAGGCGGUUCGAUCAGUCCGUUGUGAAAGUCCAGGGCUCAACCCUGGAAAGCCGGUGGAUACUGUCGGGCUAGAAUCCGGAAGAGGCGAGUGGAAUUCCUGGUGUAGCGGUGAAAUGCGCAGAUAUCAGGAGGAACACCGAUGGCGAAGGCAGCUCGCUGGGACGGUAUUGACGCUGAGACGCGAAAGCGUGGGGAGCAAACAGG
rnacentral:rRNA from 1 species